AAGUAUUUUAGGUUCUUAAGAGAUUAAUAGGGAAAGAGGUUAAAUUCCUCUACAGCCCCCGUUACUGUGAUGUGGACGAAACUCAAUAAACCACUGUAGGGCACAAGCUUUAUGGGAAGGUGAGGAGUAGGUUGAAACUAAGUCAGGAGACCUGCCUAAAGUAUG
rnacentral:ncRNA from 1 species